UACGUAGGUGGCAAGCGUUGUCCAGAAUUAUUGGGCGUAAAGAGCUCGUAGGUGGUUUGUCGCGUUGUUCGUGAAAUGCCACAGCUUAACUGUGGGCGUGCGGGCGAUACGGGCAGACUGGAGUACUGCAGGGGAGACUGGAAUUCCUGGUGUAGCGGUGGAAUGCGCAGAUAUCAGGAGGAACACCGGUGGCGAAGGCGGGUCUCUGGGCAGUAACUGACGCUGAGGAGCGAAAGCGUGGGGAGCGAACAGG
rnacentral:rRNA from 1 species